AAGGUUCAGUAAUAAGAUAUUUUUCACAUCACGAAUAUUGUUAAAUUUCUUUUGUAUUUUUUAAUAAUGGCUACAUAAACUUACUGCCCUGGUAACAUUUGUAAACAAACAAUUAGUUGCAUCAAGUUUCUAUGCUUCAAACUGCAAAUUUUUAUUUAAACUGCCAAAAUUCUGGUUUAUGUUCAUUCUAGUUUCAAAUUGUAAAAAAAUAUAUUAUGUUUUUCUAAAAUGGACAGUCUUGGAAAGGAUUGUAUAGAGCUGAAAAAAGAAUAUGAAAAAUGUUUUAAUUAUUGGUAUUCGGAAAGGUUUUUGAAAAACAAGGAAGGAGAUUUAAGUAUUUGUGAGCCUUUGUUUCAAGAGUACCAGAAAUGUUUAAAGGUUGCCAUAAAGAAAAACAAUAUACCCCUAUGGGAAUUAGAUAAAGUACAAAAUGAAAAUAUCAAGAAAAGUCAUGAAUCAGGCACUUCUGCAUAACUGAUUUUGUAGUAAUUUGUUUUUAUACAAUUAUUUAUUGUUUGUAACAUUUAUUUGUCGUUCAUCUGCAUUGUUAUCCUAAAACUAGAAUGUUUAUGAUAUGAGAGUCAUAAUAAAUGUCAAUUGAAUUUUUUUCUA